CACAGGCCAUGCUAUCCAUCAUGUGUUACCUCACAUUGGUGUUCCCCGCUUCUUUCACUCAGAAUGCUAACUCUUCAGAGACACAGGAAAGUGCCAGUUUCAACAAAUGGUGUGAUUAUCUACAGGCAAGCCAUGCAACACCCGUUAAACAUUAAUAUAAAACUACUGCUCAUCUUUAAAGCAAUGAUUUAAAGCCAUAAAUGUAACAGGAAGAUCUAAUUCUGGAAGACAUACAAAUGCCGAAAGGAAAAUUAAAGCCACUUACCCCGAGGAAGAGAUGAAGGUGAAGAACUUUCUGGGCCUGAGUCUGUGGGAUUCAUAUAUUGACAUCUUAACCCUUAGAAGAUGGAGUCCUUAAAGAGGAACACAGAAGAAAGAAAGAAGAACUGAGACUUAAAUGAAGCUUAACUGGUACAUCUGGACUCUGAUGAGUGAGAAGUCCAAGCAAAUAGAAAAGCCACAGCCAAACGGUGAGUAAACAGGAAGACUGAACUGUU
rnacentral:lncRNA from 1 species